ensembl:lncRNA
CUGAGGGAGUUUGCAGCACAGAGAUGAAGCUCAGCUUUAUGCUUCACAUCUCAUAUUCCUAAGCAAAACUAAGAUAAAACAAAAUGAUAGUGAAUAGUCUCAUUUAAUGGCAUGCAUUUCUCUGACACAUGCUAGGUUUCAUAAACAUUCACUUUUUUGUCUGCUUGGGUUUUGUUUGAAGUAAGGCUGAAAGUUCUUUGCAAUAUCAAAUCCAGCCUAAAAUUUCAUUAAAAACAUGAUAAACUACAGCAAAGACUUUUACUGUUACUUUUACUGCUAGGGAGGAGCGGUGAGAAACUAUUAAAUUCCUGUGCAAAAUUAAUAGACAACAGAAAAAUAUUAUAAAAAGAAAGGACAUAACUUAUGAAAUCUAUCUAAGCUGUUAUCUGUCAUGUGGAAAUGAAGUUUUAUAACACUGGAUAAUGAGGAUGCUUGUCUUUGUUUUUCUUCAGCCAUAUGAACCACAGGAAAUGCAGAGUUCUCAUUGCAAAUUGUCAAUAUCGAAUGGAUAUAGCCCCACUUACUGUAGAAAAUUUAACUUGAAUUAACAGUAUGUAAUUGUGACCAUGAAUGGAUUUUUUAUACUGAGCAACAAAGAUAUAGAUGAUAGCACAAAUCUCUAUCGGUGGAGCCUACAGCUGCAGACAAACCUUGAAGAAGGUCUCCUACAGCAGCAUGAAAGGCUGCUGACCAGAGGCCAUUAGAACAUGACUGGGAAGAGGAAGACUUGGCUGUGACUGGGCUGGUACCUUCACAGAAGGCCCUCGAACAACUGUUUAUUUCCAGAGUCUUCCCGGGUAACUCUGAAUGUAUUCCUCCUCUCAUGAAAGUAUAGCUACUUACAGUCUUGAGUCUAGGGGGAGAGAGGGAGUUGCAUGCUGACAUUUAAGUGCCCCUUUUUACUGUCUUGCCCUUCUUAUAAAAAAUGUCAUUUAAAAUUUAAAUUAUAACAUUAGUGAAAUCUUAUUAAAUUUAAUAUGAUUUAAAUUAAAAUAAAAUUGCUAAAAUCAUCAAGUUGUGCAGAAAAAAAAAUGCAUAAUAAAAAAUUAAAAUUAGAAAAGUCCUCAGGGAGGAGGGCCAUCAUAACCCUCUUUCCUUCUCUUCUACCCCACUUCUCCCAAAUGGCUAUAUUGUAUGCAGUCAAAUUCUUUAAGAACUCAUGCAGUUGAAAGAGGAAAAGACUUUUCUGUAUGCCAAUAAGUGCAAAAACAUGCGAUUGUAAAUGAAGAAAUUGAUAUGUAAAGGUUCAAUGAUUUGUUCAAAGAAUAAAUGAAGCUGGCAUUAGUCACUAUGUGUUGUUGCUUAUGUGCACAGAACUGGGCAUAUCUAUAUGGUGUUCAUAUUCUUAAACAAAUCGAUUGUUAGACAUUUAACAUGAACAGCUGCGAGUGAAAUAUUUUGUAUUUUAGAUUUUUGUGAAAAUCUGCAUACCACAGACUUCUAGAAUGCAAGCAGAAGAUAAUCCUUCUUCAGAAUUAGUCAUAACGACUGUGAAGAGAUCUGAAUUUUUACACUGCUCUUGCCCCUGUUGUGAGUUUCUGGUGGAUAAGCUGAUAGCUUCAGUUUUCAAAGAUGUCAGGCAAGCUCUUUUUUUGUACCAAUGGGUAACAGCAGUUGUUCUCUGGUAGCAAUUAUUAUCUUUCACAGCAUAUAAAGGCUUGAUGUGCUAUUAACUAAUCUUCUUGAGGUGAAAACUUCUUGUCCGUUUGUCUAAAGCUUUGAGUAUUUUACAGAAAAAUUCUCUAUCCAUCCAUUAUAAUGAAAAAAUACUUUGUCAGCAUUCUGUGAUGUGUUUUGAUUACCAGUUACCUUAUGACUACAUUAACAUCAAUAUAUUUUUUUUUCAAAACAGAUUUAAGAUUCUGCCUUUCAAAUCCUACUUGGUUAAAAAAAACAAACAAAAAAAAAAGUAGCAUCAUAAGGAAGGUCUGGCAUGCAUUUGAUACAACUCAGCUUAUGCAUUCUCACCAUCCAAUGUAUUGGCUUUACUAGGGAUUUGAUUUGGACCCAGAUUCAACACAGAUAUAUAAUGUGCACAGUAGCAUGUAGCUAUUUGCGAUGGACUACAUCAGGACUGUGGGUAAAUAGUUCUUAUGCUUUGAUAUGCAUGCUGAUGUCCCCAGUAAAAUUACUUUUUAAGCAACAUAUGGAGAAAGCGUGUUACCAUGAGUCAAAGUAUUGUAAAUAGUCUUACUAUUUAGUUCAAAAAUACUCAUUUCAAUAUAUUUUCAGUAUCCUCC